GGGAAAUGGGGAGGGGGGGGACGGGACCGGGACCGAAACGGGGAUGAUGUUAAAAACGGACGCGGGGUUGGGGGAAAGGCGGCUUCCCUUCGCUCGGGCGGUGUUUGCGGGAGCCCUGGCCAUCUGCCGGCGGAGGGGCAAAAUCGUUGAGGGCUCGAAUUUAAACGUUUCUGUGCCGGAGGUUCCAUUGGCCGGCGGGGCCGGGGAGCGUCGGGCAGGGCUGUACCACCGCCCGCAGGGCGCUUCAAGGGGACACAGUAUGCAAAAUCAUGUAUGAGAAACUGAAUAUAACUGCUAUGAAAGAAAUAGAGGAAAGUGGGCAAGAAUUUUAAUUUCUGUCUUUGGAAAAGUGAAUAGACCAAGAUAAACUAGGGGCCUCCCAUGUGAUGCUGUGGUCCUGUGGGCACCAUAUGUAAAUCAUUACCAAUCACAAGAAGCUCUGUAACACGAUUUGAAAUUUAAAGAAAUGAAAAAACAGUAUGAAGAAGUUGAAAUUAUUUCACAGCAUGAUGACAAAAAGUCUAAUACCAGACCUUGGGACUCUAUGACUAUGAUUCUGUAGGAUUUUCUUGAUUGCAAAAGACAGAGAAGAAACAAAGUCAUACAGCUGCUUACGUAAAGGUGCCUAAAUCCUUUCAGUGAUUGCUAUGGAGCAGCAACAUGAAGCAGGUCUGAAGGAAGGCCUUUGCCAUGGUUUUAUGUUUACAUGUAUGCUGAAUCUUCAGAGUGUUCCUGUUCAUUCUCAGCUACACAAGGUCCAGAUUCAAUCCAGAGUUACACUGAACAUCUGUGCUUGUUUUUACCCUUAGCUUGUACUUAGCUUUGAAUUCUACUGCUUCUGGGGAAGGGCUUGUGUGCCCUGAAGAUUGUCUUUUUUUUCUUAGCUACACCAGUUGAUCUAAAUAAACCAACAAACCUUAGAUUUAA